AUUAAAAAUACAAAAAAAAGCUUAGCCAGGUGUGGUGGCGGGCGCCUGUAAUCCCAGCUACUCGGGAGGCUGAGGCAGGAGAAUUGCUUGAACCCGGGAGGCAGAGGUUGCAGUGAGCUGAGAUCACGCCUCUGCACUCCAGCCUGGGAGACAAAGCAAGACUCCGUACCAAAAAAAAAAAAAAAAAAAAAAAAAAGAAUUCCAGUUCCAUCACUUCUUAGCAGUAUGGCCUAAGGCAAGUUGCUUAAUCUCUCUGUGCUUCAAUUUUAUUUUUCUUUUCUUUCUUUUUUUUUUUUUUUUUUUUUUUUUGAGACUGAGUUUGGCUCUUCUUACCCAGGCUAAUUUUUGUGUAUUUUUAGUAGAGACAGGGUUUCACCAUGUUGGUCAGGCUGGUCUCGAACUCUUGACCUCUGGUGAUCCACCCACCUUGGCCUCCCAAAGUGCUGGGAUUACAGGUGUGAACCACUGCACCUGGCCCAAUUUUCUCAUCUGUAAAAAUGGAAGUAAUCACAGUUUCCACUUCGUGAGGUUAUUAUGACAAAUUAAUAUAGAUAAAGCUUUUAGAGUAGUGCCUGGCUUAUUGAUGAAGGGCUAUCUCAUGUGGGUAAUUAUCUUGUUCACUCAUUUAGUUGCUUGUGUUAUGUUUCUCCAUCUAGACUGUAUAUUCCAAGAGACCAGAGACUUUGUUUUGUCCCUACCUUACAUAUAGUAGGUGCUCAAUAAAUAUCAAAUGAUUAGGAAGAACUGGCCAGGCACGGUGGCUCACGUCUAUAAUCCCAGCACUUUGGGAGGCCGAGGCAGGAGGAUUGCUUGAGGUCAGGAGUUUGUGACCUGCCUGACCAACAUGGCAAGACCCUAUCUCUAUAAAAAAUAAAAAUUAGCCUGGUGUGGUGGCACGUGCCUGCAAUCCCAGCUACUCAGGAGGCUGAGGUGGAAGGAUCGCUUGAGCCCAGAAAAUUGAGGCUGCAGUGAGCCAUGAUCACACCACUGCACUCCAGCCUGGGUGACAGAGUGAGACCGUGUCUCUAAAAUUUUUUUUUUAAAUUUUAAAUAAAAAAUAGGAUCAUAGGAGACAUGAAAGCCCUAUCUGCUGUCUCUCGCUUCAACUGUCCCCACUGUCCUAGAGACAGCCCUGGGGUGCCCCCUGCUGGACGCCACACAGGUUUUUCCUUACAGGCAGCUGGUAUAUGCCAUCCUAUAACGUUUACACGUGGGUCCAGCUCUGUCCUCCAGGGUAGGGGACAGUAAUGCUGAGAGGAGUUAAGAGCACUCACUUAAGAGCCAGAUGUGCCUGGAUGGGAGCUUCUGCUUCUCCAGUUACUCUGUGUCACUUGCCAGAAAACCGUAAAAGGGAUGACCAUGCCCUCUCCCCUGUCCCACCUGACUGGACUGUAGGGUGGUGUGAUAGGACGUGCCCUAUGCCCAGUGAGCCUUCUGGCCCACCUCACACAGCCCUUUGAAGGCUGAGAAGCAGUUGUCUUAUCUUCCUGACCUAAACACCACUGGUGUACCCGAUGUCCCUCUAGUGACAGCAAGAGUGAGCCUGAGGCCCCUCCGGUCUCCUCUGAGGGCCCCAUGCUCUGGGGAGAGACCACAGCAGGCUCAGAGCCUCUGGGCUUCUGGGCAGGGCUUCUGGCUCCUUCCUCAGGCUCUUGGCUGCAGGUGGCCUUCUGGUCUUGCACCUUCCUCCCACCCAUCUCCCUGCCUUCCUGGCUGCCCUGCUUUCCCUGUCCCCGGUCAGUCCGGUCUGUCGUGAGCCCAGAGGCCUCUCCUGCCUCACUCUGCACCUGUUCCCGCCCUUGGCUUUGGUUGCUGGCCACAGACACUGCAACUCCUAUACCUGCAUCGGCAGCCCAGGGCCCCACACUCUUUAUGGGCCUCUUUCCCGAACGUCCCAUGCGCACCUGAAACUCAGGGGCGCUCCCCUCCACCUGCAGCACAUUCCACACCCCCCACAUUCCUAUGCUGACCUCCAGUCCUUGAAGGGCCAGGCCCUACCUGGCCUCCUGGCCCCUCAUGCCCAUGACCUGUCUCCAUCUUCAGUUUCCUCCCAUAGCCCAGUGCAGGCUCCGGUCCUUUCUCCACUCACCCCAUCUCCUCUUAACCUGGCUCCCCACAUGCCCACCCUUAGUCUCCCACCCCUAAGCAUGGGAGCUCAUGGGGUGAGCCUGUUCCUCCAUAGCCCUUCAUCAAGCUGGACCCUGAGGGCAAGGCAUCAGUUCCUUUGUCUGAUUGGCAGCUCGGGUGAACAUGGACUGUGCCUUCCCCAGCAGACUGAAAUCCCCCAGACAGGACGGAGGGCAUCCUUAUGGAAGAGGUUAUGCCUCUCCCUUGAAACUGAGAGUUUUCUGAAGUCAAGGUUUUGUCUCCCUUGUCAGACUGAGGAUGCCCCCAGAGCAGGGGCUGCAUCUCCACCACUGCACUGGAGGGCCCAGGACACUGGCUCCCCCUCCCCUUGGGUCCCACCCUUCAUGUGGCCAGGCUGCUGAUUCUUCCUGGGAAGGAGUCUCUUAUUCCCCACCGUAACUUCAGGGCCCCCACACAUGACCUGGCCUGGGGUUGGGGCUCUGGGAAUUGUAAAUAAAUGAACUAGUGAAUGAAUAAACAAUUGCAGGCAGGCCCCAGCUUGAACCCUGCAAUCCCACCAGAACAGCAGGUAGCAUCAGGGUUCAGAACCGAGGCAAAGCUGGAGACUCUCGGUGAUUUUACUGGUCUCCAUUUCAGGAGAGGAGGGCAGAGGGUUCCAGGCCCUUCAAAUGCCCACCCCUAGGACCAGCAGCUGACAGUCUUUGGAAGGGGCUGGGUCGGCCGGAAGGAGCGUGCCGGAGCACAGAGUCUGGCACAAGACCCUCCCCACCUCCCCUCCCCCAGGCCAAAGCCUGGGCCAACCUCUGGGCCAGGUUUGGAAAAGGGCCAAUGAGACCAGAUGCUAAUGACUCCAGGGGGUGGGCACGAACUAAGAGAAACCCCAAACCAAUCCUUUUUGUGCUUCCCCAUCCCCACCUCCCAUCCCCUACCCCAGGCCCCUCACCUCCAUCCCUGGGCCCAAGAGAACUGGUACCCUAGACCCUAGCACAGUCCACACCCACCCCAGUUGCCAAUCAGACAAAGGAACUGACACCUUGCCCUAGGGGCCCAGCUUGAUGAAGGGCUGUGGAGGUUUGGGGAAGGUGAGGACGCUAUGGACUAAGUUAAGGCCUAUCUACUCCCAGCCUCUACCCUUCCAAGCAGCUGGGGGAGGGUGGAAGCAGGGCCGCUCAGGGCUCUACCCACAUGCUGCUAUUGGUCACCCGGGCCCUGAGAACUGGUACACCCCCAACCCCACUCUGCCUUUAGUAAAGGAUGGGGGGUCAUAGCAAGGCUUAGGAUACUCACUGGACCAAGAGAGGCCUGGAGGGCAGCCCCCCCGCCAACAUGCCCUAUUCUGGCCUCUGGGCAGCUUGGGUGUCGGUCAGGCGCCAGGCUCAGCUCAACCUUCCUUGGUCUCACAAUCCCAGCUUUGUCCUCCCUGGCAAGGCCGGGCCCAGCUGACUCCAUACUGGCCCAAGGUCCGCUGGAAACCAGAGCAGCUGGAGCCCUACCAAGUAUUUUUCCAGGCUAUGCCGGGGGCCCUCAGGAGACAGAAAAGGAUGGGAAGGGAGCAGUGUUUAUCCAUUUUUUCAUUCAUUCCUUCCUUGGACAAAUAAUAUUUAUUGAGAGCCCACUUUGUGGCAAGCACUGUGCUAGGU
rnacentral:lncRNA from 1 species